rnacentral:pre_miRNA from 1 species
CAAUUACUUCUUCCGUUCCAUAAUUCUUGUCUUAAAUUUGCCCAAAAAUAAAUGUAUCUAUGAUUCUAUUCCUAAAAAUUGUCUAGAUACAUGUAAGAUUUCGACAAAAAUUAUGGAACGGAGGGAGUACAAU